GCGUGCGCGCACGAUUGUAUCUCGACAAUACGAACCCGCCACUGCGCCUUCCCCUCUCCCUCAGGGACUUCUUACUUUCCCUCGUGCUCGGUCACACCUCAGAACGCGGCGGCCAAACACCGAAUCGCGCGCGCCCGCCAUUCGUCGCGCAAGGGUCUCUAUCGAUCUCUGUGCUCGCGCCAUGCGCGUCGUCGUCGUGGGGGCCGGUCUUUCCGGUCUCUCACUGGCCGCUUUUUUGCGGCGGCUUAAUGUCGACUGCGUCGUACUCGAGCAGGCGCCGUUUCUGCAGGCCAACUACAUUGCCCCGUACACACUCUUCGCCAACGCGCUGAGUUGUUUUAAGGCGUUUGGCAUGGAGCGCAUCUUCACAAGCAGCGGCAUGCAACCGGAGGCGUGCUUCGGCAUUCAAAACCACAAGGGUAAGUGGUUGCUCAAGAUCGCGAACAGGAAUCUCCACCUACCAGCGCUGGGCGCCGAGGAUGUUAUUCCUCUCAGCACCGCACCCCCGGCGAACAGCGAGUCGAUCGUCUCGCAGCGGCUGUCAGAGGCCAGGAAGCAAGAGAUGGGAUACGUGCCACUUCGGUGCACCCUACCUGCCUCCUAUCUGCGCGAGGCUCUACGGCGAUACAUACCGGAAAUCAAGUUUUCUGCCCGAGUCAUCGACCUGCUGCCGCAUGACGGUGUCAAAGGCGGCGUGCAUGCGGUGCUCGAAGAUGGAAGUACCGAAUGGGGCGACGUUGUGGUUGGCGCGGACGGCAUGCACAGUACGGUUCGGCGCCUCUUGUAUCCUAGCGAGCACGUUGGAACUAGUAGCCGCUCACUUGGGAUGAUGCAGGUUGACGGGUUUGUGCACUGCCCGCAUUGCCCACCGCAUCUUGUGCAGCCCGUUGAGUGCUGGGGAACAGGCCGUACACUGCAGACAGUCCCCCUCCACCGCUUCGGCGAAAACACUCUCGCCUUUUCGGCAACGCUGCACUCUCCGCCACAGGAGCUGGUGGACCUCCGGCACGGUAUGGAUGCCAUGGAGGUGCUGCAGGUAUUUCAGCGCUUGCUCGGUCGCGAAUACGCCGGCUUCGGUGACAGGGUCGCGACACUGCUGUCUCAGGCGAAGUUGGCAGUGCCGACGGAGGUGCUGGAGGUGCCUGUCAUGCCCAGAUGGUACAACCGCCGAGCGGUGCUCAUGGGCGAGGCCGCGCACGGGUCACUGCCUUCCUUUCUCAGCCAAGAUGCCUCGUUGUGCGUGGAAGAUGCCGCUCUCCUGGCUGUUGCAUUGCUAGAUGUUCCACUGCAGCGCGACAGCGGUUUCGAGUACGCAUUCCGCCAGUACGAGACGGUGCGGCGCGAUCGGGUAGAGCGGUACAUACGUCAAUCCCGACGCGCUCGCAAGCUGACGGCGAUGACGAACGCGGCGCUGCGCAACACGCUGCUGCGACUCACAUCGCCCAUCGCUGUGGAUCUGGCGCAGCGCUGGCUCUCGAGCUGGACCUACAGCUCCCAGCAGCUAGCGGUGGAUCCGAAGAUUAAGAUGGAGACGUCGUUUCGCUGAGGAGACUGUGGGCGGGAGGCGCUUGAUCACGGUGGGGACGGCGGCGAGGCAACGCUCUUCUACGUGCUUGUGCCACGGCAGUGUGCUGCGUGUCGGCAUGCACGUGCGUUUGUGUGGUGGCACGCUCUGUGACGUCUGCACGAUGAUGCCCUUUACUGUUUCGUCUUCCCGCGCGCUUCACGCACGUCUUUCCCUCGCCUUGCGCUUUCUACCUUCGCAUGCCUACGUGCGUAGGGCAGACGCUUGAUGCGCUGGCGGAGCUGGAGAGGCGCGGAGAGACCGUGGUGGCGAGGCUGAUACGAAGACGCACAACC
rnacentral:misc_RNA from 1 species